rnacentral:rRNA from 1 species
GUACACUCCUGCGGGAGGCAGCAGUGAGGAAUAUUGGACAAUGGGUGGAAGCCUGAUCCAGCCAUCCCGCGUGCAGGAAGACGGCCCUAUGGGUUGUAAACUGCUUUUAUCUGGGGAUAAACCUACUUACGUGUAAGUAGCUGAAGGUACCAGAAGAAUAAGCACCGGCUACCUCCGUUCCAGCAGCCGCGGUAAUACGGAGGGUGCAAGCGUUAUCCGGAUUUAUUGGGUUUAAAGGGUCCGUAGGCGGACUGAUAAGUCAGUGGUGAAAUCCGACAGCUUAACUGUCGAACUGCCAUUGAUACUGUUAGUCUUGAGUAAGGUUGAAGUGGCUGGAAUAAGUAGUGUAGCGGUGAAAUGCAUAGAUAUUACUUAGAACACCAAUUGCGAAGGCAGGUCACUAAGUCUUAACUGACGCUGAUGGACGAAAGCGUGGGGAGCGAACAGGAUUAGAAACCCUGGUAGUCCCAUG